UGAGGGAAAGGCGAAAAGAACCCCGGCGAGGGGAGUGAAAAAGAACCUGAAACCGUGUACGUACAAGCAGUGGGAGCACCCUUUGGGGUGUGACUGCGUACCUUUUGUAUAAUGGGUCAGCGACUUAUAUUCUGUAGCAAGGUUAACCGAAUAGGGGAGCCGGAGGGAAACCGAGUCUUAAUUGGGCGUUAAGUUGCAGGGUAUAGACCCGAAACCCGGUGAUCUAGCCAUGGGCAGGUUGAAGGUUGGGUAACACUAAC
rnacentral:rRNA from 2 species